rnacentral:rRNA from 1 species
AUUGAACGCUGGCGGCAGGCCUAACACAUGCAAGUCGAACGAGUGGCGGACGGGUGAUUAAUGUAUGGGACCAUGCCUGGUGGAUGAGGAUAACUACGGGAAACGGUAACUACUACCGCAUACCAUCAGAUGUGCCCAGAUGGGAUGAGCUAGUGGGUGGGGUAACGGCUCACCAAGGCGACGAUCCCUAGCUGGUUUGAGAGGAUGACCAGCCAAACUGGAACUGAGACACGGUCCAGACUCCUACGGGAGGCAGCAGUGGGGAAUAUUGCACAAUGGGCGCAAGCCUGAUGCAGCCAUGCCGCGUGUAUGAAGAAGGCCUUCGGGUUGUAAAGUACUUUCAGCGGGGAGGCGUUACCCGCAGAAGAAGCACCGGCUAACUCCGUGCCAGCAGCCGCGGUAAUUC